rnacentral:rRNA from 1 species
UGGGGAAUAUUGCACAAUGGGCGCAAGCCUGAUGCAGCCAUGCCGCGUGUAUGAAGAAGGCCUUCGGGUUGUAAAGUACUUUCAGCGGGGAGGAAGGGAGUAAAGUUAAUACCUUUGCUCAUUGACGUUACCCGCAGAAGAAGCACCGGCUAACUCCGUGCCAGCAGCCGCGGUAAUACGGAGGGUGCAAGCGUUAAUCGGAAUUACUGGGCGUAAAGCGCACGUAGGCGGUUUGUUAAGUCAGAUGUGAAAUCCCCGGGCUCAACCUGGGAACUGCAUCUGAUACUGGCAAGCUUGAGUCUCGUAGAGGGGGGUAGAAUUCCAGGUGUAGCGGUGAAAUGCGUAGAGAUCUGGAGGAAUACCGGUGGCGAAGGCGGCCCCCUGGACGAAGACUGACGCUCAGGUGCGAAAGCGUGGGGAGCAAACAGG